rnacentral:rRNA from 1 species
GAUGAACGCUGGCGGCGUGCCUAAUACAUGCAAGUCGAGCGAACAGACGAGGAGCUUGCUCCUCUGACGUUAGCGGCGGACGGGUGAGUAACACGUGGAUAACCUACCUAUAAGACUGGGAUAACUUCGGGAAACCGGAGCUAAUACCGGAUAAUAUAUUGAACCGCAUGGUUCAAUAGUGAAAGACGGUUUUGCUGUCACUUAUAGAUGGAUCCGCGCCGCAUUAGCUAGUUGGUAAGGUAACGGCUUACCAAGGCAACGAUGCGUAGCCGACCUGAGAGGGUGAUCGGCCACCCUGGAACUGAGACACGGUCCAGACUCCUACGGGAGGCAGCAGUAGGGAAUCUUCCGCAAUGGGCGAAAGCCUGACGGAGCAACGCCGCGUGAGUGAUGAAGGUCUUCGGAUCGUAAUACUCUGUUAUUAGGGAAGAACAAAUGUGUAAGUAAAUAUGCACGUCUUGACGGUACCUAAUCAGAAAGCCACGGCUAACUACGUG